GACGAACGCUGGCGGCGUGCCUAAUACAUGCAAGUCGAGCGGACUUAAAAAGCUUGCUUUUUAAGUUAGCGGCGGACGGGUGAGUAACACGUGGGCAACCUGCCCGUAAGACUGGGAUAACUUCGGGAAACCGGAGCUAAUACCGGAUAAUCCUUUUCUACUCAUGUAGAAAUGCUGAAAGACGGUUUACGCUGUCACUUACAGAUGGGCUCGCGGCGCAUUAGCUAGUUGGUGAGGUAACGGCUCACCAAGGCGACGAUGCGUAGCCGACCUGAGAGGGUGGUCGGCCACACUGGGACUGAGACACGGCCCAGACUCCUACGCGAGGCAGCAGUAGGGAAUCUUCCGCAAUGGACGAAAGUCUGACGGAGCAACGCCGCGUGAGUGAUGAAGGUGUUCGGAUCGUAACACUCUGUUGUUAGGGAAGAACAAGUACGAGAGUAACUGCUCGUACCUUGACGGUACCUAACCAGAAAGCCACGGCUAACUACGUG
rnacentral:rRNA from 1 species